GACGAACCGUGCAAACGUUGUUCGGAAUCACUGGGCUUAAAGGGCGCGUAGGCGGGAAUGCAAGUCAGGGGUGAAAUCCCACGGCUCAACCGUGGAAGUGCCUUUGAUACUGUGUUUCUAGAGGGAUGUAGGGGCGUGCGGAACUUCCGGUGGAGCGGUGAAAUGCGUAGAUAUCGGAAGGAACACCGGUGGCGAAAGCGGCGCGCUGGACAUCUACUGACGCUGAGGCGCGAAAGCCAGGGGAGCAAACGGG
rnacentral:rRNA from 1 species